CCAAGCCUAUCCUUUCAUUUUUUCACCCCUUUUAUGCUUGAUUUCAUGCUCUCCAUGAAUUAGAUAAGGGAAGGGGCAUCCAAGAGUUGGACGCCCCAUGGACUCCUUGUUAGACUAGGUCUUAUGACCUAGUUUUCCUUAUAUAAAGUUGCCGCCCCAUAUGAUAAAUAUAAGGAGUCUAAAAUCUAUAGUUUUUUGAUAGAAAAGGUAGAAAAGAAAGAGGAUGGCAUGGGUGGUUUGAGGUGCCAAUAUCCUUGGAG
rnacentral:lncRNA from 1 species